UGGCGGCGUGCUUAACACAUGCAAGUCGAACGGAAAGGCCCUGCUUUUGUGGGGUGCUCGAGUGGCGAACGGGUGAGUAACACGUGAGUAACCUGCCCUUGACUUUGGGAUAACUUCAGGAAACUGGGGCUAAUACCGGAUAGGAGCUCCUGCUGCAUGGUGGGGGUUGGAAAGUUUCGGCGGUUGGGGAUGGACUCGCGGCUUAUCAGCUUGUUGGUGGGGUAGUGGCUUACCAAGGCUUUGACGGGUAGCCGGCCUGAGAGGGUGACCGGCCACAUUGGGACUGAGAUACGGCCCAGACUCCUACGGGAGGCAGCAGUGGGGAAUAUUGCACAAUGGGCGGAAGCCUGAUGCAGCAACGCCGCGUGCGGGAUGACGGCCUUCGGGUUGUAAACCGCUUUCGCCUGUGACGGAGCGUGAGUGACGGUAAUGGGUAAAGAAGCACCGGCUAACUACGUGCCAGCAGCCGCGGUGAUACGUAGGGUGCGAGCGUUGUCCGGAUUUAUUGGGCGUAAAGGGCUCGUAGGUGGUUGAUCGCGUCGGAAGUGUAAUCUUGGGGCUUAACCCUGAGCGUGCUUUCGAUACGGGUUGACUUGAGGAAGGUAGGGGAGAAUGGAAUUCCUGGUGGAGCGGUGGAAUGCGCAGAUAUCAGGAGGAACACCAGUGGCGAAGGCGGUUCUCUGGGCCUUUCCUGACGCUGAGGAGCGAAAGCGUGGGGAGCGAACAGGCUUAGAUACCCUGGUAGUCCACGCUGUAAACGGUGGGUACUAGGUGUGGGGUCCAUUCCACGGGUUCCGUGCCGUAGCUAACGCUUUAAGUACCCCGCCUGGGGAGUACGGCCGCAAGGCUAAAACUCAAAGGAAUUGACGGGGCCCCGCACAAGCGGCGGAGCAUGCGGAUUAAUUCGAUGCAACGCGUAGAACCUUACCUGGGUUUGACAUGGAUCGGGAGUGCUCAGAGAUGGGUGUGCCUCUUUUGGGGUCGGUUCACAGGUGGUGCAUGCCUGUCGUCAGCUCGUGUCGUGAGAUGUUGGGUUAAGUCCCGCAACGAGCGCAACCCUUGUUCACUGUUGCCAGCACGUUAUGGUGGGGACUCAGUGGAGACCGCCGGGGUCAACUCGGAGGAAGGUGGGGAUGACGUCAAGUCCUCAUGCCCCUUAUGUCCAGGGCUUCACGCAUGCUACAAUGGCUGGUACAGAGAGUGGCGAGCCUGUGAGGGUGAGCGAAUCUCGGAAAGCCGGUCUCAGUUCGGAUUGGGGUCUGCAACUCGACCUCAUGAAGUCGGAGUCGCUAGUAAUCGCAGAUCAGCAACGCUGCGGUGAAUACGUUCCCGGGGCUUGUACACACCGCCCGUCAAGUCAUGAAAGUUGGUAACACCCGAAGCCGGUGGCCUAACCGUUGUGGGGGAGCCGUCGAAGGUGGGACUGGUGAUUAGGACUAAGA
rnacentral:rRNA from 1 species